UACGGGGGGAGCAAGCGUUGUUCGGAUUUACUGGGCGUAAAGGGCGCGUAGGCGGCCACUGCAAGUCAGUUGUGAAAUCUCCGGGCUUAACCCGGAAAGGUCAACUGAUACUGCAGGGCUAGAGUGCAGAAGGGGCAACUGGAAUUCCCGGUGUAGCGGUGGAAUGCGUAGAGAUCGGGAAGAACAUCAGUGGCGAAGGCGGUCUGCUGGGCCGUUGCUGACGCUGAGGCGCGACAGCGUGGGGAGCAAACAGG
rnacentral:rRNA from 1 species